AAGAAUUCAAAGAAAAAAAACUUUUCUUCAUUCUUUCUGAAUCUUCAAAAAGUCAAGAACGUCUUGAAGGCUCUUCCUAGUUCUCGGAUGAAUUUCCUAUUCUGAAGCAGGAUUUGGGUUUUAUUUUGAAUCCCUGGGUUGUUUUUCUGGUUUUGCUGUUGUUGGUCUGUUGGUUACUGUCGAAGUUUGGGUUUUCAUUUUUCUUCUGGUUUCCUUGACCUUUAUUUGGUCAUUCUUUAGCCAUAUUUUCAAUUUAAAGGUAUGUACAAUGUUCCUUUUGAGUAGAAUCAGUUCUUGUGUUAAAAAAUCUACAUCUGAAACUUGUUUUCUUUAGCCGAUCUUUGUUAGUUUAGUUUGGAAAUCAUGAUUGUUUUCUGGAUUAAAUGUCUGUUUGAGUUGAAACCAAAACGUUUGUAAGGUUGUUUGUUUUCUUUAGCUGAUCUUUGUUAGUUUAGUUUGGAAAUCAUGAUUGUUUUCUGGAUUAAAUGUCUGCUUGAGUUGAAACCAAAACGUUUGUAAGGUUGUGUUCAUAUGCAAUGUUUACAUCUUGGAUUGC
rnacentral:lncRNA from 1 species